rnacentral:rRNA from 1 species
GACGAACGCUGGCGGCGUGCUUAACACAUGCAAGUGGAGCGACGAACCGGGCUUCGGCCCGGGGCAAAGCCGCGAACGGGUGAGUAACACGUGGGUAACCUGCCCCGAUGACCGGGACAACCCGAGGAAACUCGGGCUAAUACCGGAUGUGUACCGUGCUCAUGAGGGCACGAUGCAAAGGUAGCUUCGGCCUCCGCAUCGGGAUGGGCCCGCGGCCCAUUAGCUUGUUGGUGGGGUAACGGCCUACCAAGGCUGCGAUGGGUAGCUGGUCUGAGAGGACGAUCAGCCACACUGGGACUGAGACGCGGCCCAGACUCCUACGGGAGGGAGCAGUGGGGAAUCUUGCGCAAUGCGCGAAAGCGUGAGGCAGCAACGCCGCGUGGGGGAAGAAGGCCUUCGGGUUGUAAACCCCUUUCAGUUGGGACGAAGCUUCGCCGGUGAAUAGCCGGCCGGAGUGACGGUACCUUCAGAAGAAGCCCCGGCUAACUUCGUGCCAGCCGCCGCAGUAACAC